rnacentral:lncRNA from 1 species
AUAAAUAAUAUUUUUUCACUUUGGAGACAAAAAUUUAAAUUUAGAUCUCUUUGAGAACCAAUUUAUUUAUAGAUACGAAUGACUAUUUAAAAAAAAAAAAAACUUCUCCACGGGAACCCUGGACGUCCACCUCCUUUGUCUUUCUCUUUGCCGCUAAACCAUCCCAUCCCAACUCAAACACCAGCACCACCACCUGAACCACCCCUAACCACCGGCGCGGCACCCGAUCGGCGCCGCCAACCUCACAACCGCAUCACCAUCGUCACCAAUCAAAUCACCAACGCACCAUCGGCACGCCGCGCAAUCAUCUCUAUCGACGCAAACAACAUCUGCGUUGUCGUCCGCUGCUUCAAGUGCAGCCUUCAACGCUAACGCAUAACGCAAGAAGAUGAAGUUGACUAACGAUUAGCGAAGAUUUGACCCGAAAAAUUCCCUUUGAAGAGGCGAGGAGGUGCCUUGUGCGGUUACGGCGUGGCGGUGCCGAAGUGGUGACAGCGGCAAGUGUGUGUUCUGAGACGGAUCUGAAAUUUAUUUAUAUUUUGUUAAAUUUGAUUCUCAAACUCUCCUCUUUUUACUGGUUUUGUAAUGAUUCUGAUGCUGAUAAUUUAUAAGAUAGUUAUUUUGUUUUGUUUUGAUGAGGUUCUGUUGAAUAUUGUUUUAUGUUACUACCCUAGAGAGAAACUGCUAAGGAUUGUUAGUGUUGAAAGUUAUGUUUUUUAUGCUUGUUUAGUAGUGUUGAAGUGUUCUUGAAAGAGCUUUCUUUUGUAGUUUUAUGAAAUUUCUGAAACCGAUUUAAUUGUUCCUUGUGUUCUUGUAACUAUUGUUGAAAUUAAAGCAAAUGUCUAUGAAGAAGAU